CAGCAGCCGCGGGAAUACGUAGGUGGCAAGCGUUGUCCGGAAUUAUUGGGCGUAAAGGGCUCGCAGGCGGUUUCUUAAGUCUGUUGUGAAAGCCCCCGGCUCAACCGGGGAGGGUCAUUGGAAACUGGGAAACUUGAGUGCAGAAGAGGAGAGUGGAAUUCCACGUGUAGCGGUGAAAUGCGUGGAGAUGUGGAGGAACACCAGUGGCGAAGGCGACUCUCUGGUCUGUAACUGACGCUGAGGAGCGAAAGCGUGGGGAGCGAACAGGAUUAGAUACCCCUGUAGUCCCUGUCUCUUAUAA
rnacentral:rRNA from 1 species